GAGGGCGGAGCCAGAGAGCAGUGAUUGGUCAGACUGACUGAGAGCCAGACAGCAGUGAUUGGUCAGACCAUAGACAAUAUAGAAGACAUCUAUGGUCGGCACGUGUGGUAGCAUCUCUGGCUGCUGUGGAUCUUGUUUUUGGAGUAAAACACGGUGGAAGCUGAAUUAGUGAGGAUGACUCCUGCUCCUGUCAUCUCUAAACUCCUCCCACAUCUUUACCUGCACAUGAGGAAAAUCACUCCUGUAGAAUGCAGAUGUUCAGAGGGAGAUGAUGCCACAUCUGGUCCAGCUGAUGGAAGGUCUUGAAGUUCUCUGACUGGCCUGGACUGAAGAUGGUCGUCUCACUGGAUUUAAGGUUCAGAUGCUCAGUAACAAACUCCACCAAUGAGCCAACAGGGAAGCUUUAGGUUUAUUAAAUGUUGCUAUGAAGGUAUCGCUGUUUUUCUUUGUGAAUGCAAUGUGCUCCAACUGAAACUUGAAUUAGAACUUAGAAGUAAAUCCUUCCAUCUGAAAGGAUUUAGUUGCAUUAAUAACCUCAUAACAUCCUAAUUUUUAUUCCAGUCUUGGUUGGAAAUAGAAUCUCUGUAUUGAUUCAGGUAAAAACUGAACUUCACAGCAUGUUGGAGCAAAACAACCAGAUGAAAACUGUGAUGGUGUUGGAUUGUCAGACCGUAAUGUUGCAGCUCAAAGCAGCUUUUCUAUCUCAGUUCAUUCUGACAUUCAGCUAUGAAUCAACACAGCAGAUGGUGAUCCAUGCUGUGGAAGUCUCACAUCUCCUGAUUUAAUGGAGCUGCUUUGCACUUUUUACACUGUUUAUUCACCAACACUUUAUUUAAUAAAAGUCCCAUCUAGUUUUUAUGAGGAAUGUGAUGUUUUAAUUUCUCUGUGAAUAACUGCAGUCUAAUGCAACAGCUAGAGUUGUAACAUCUGUCCUGAUAUUGAUCAUGAAGUAUUGAUCAGAAUACUUAUGGUCAGCAGUCAUCCCUGUAGUUUUACAUUAAAAUCUUUACUUGUGUUGUGAACUUUGGUAAGAAGCAGAAACAUUAGCGUUGCCAUGGAUACAUGAGUGUUAAAUUCUGUCCAUGUUUCCAUUUUGGGAAAUGCAGUCCAGAUGAGUUUGUUUUUACUGCCAGCUACCAUUCAGUCUGAGAUAUUAAGAAUAAAUAAAUGUGCAUAAUGUGGAAAUGAACAGAUUUUAUUUUUAUUUAUUCCUACAGUUGCUGCAUG
ensembl:lncRNA